UUAGGGGUUUCUGGUUUUUCAAGAAAUGAAUUUAAUUCAUGCGUCUUAUUUAGAGUUUUAUUAUUUGUUUAUUUAUUUUUAUUUGGUGUUAAGAUUGGGAGGGAUUAGCUUCUUAUUUUAUUUUUAUAAUUUUUUGUUUAUUUAGUCUUGUGGAUUUUAUAGUGAUUUUCAAUUUGAUUAUGUUAAAAUUUUAUUUGUUUUGUUCUUUAUUUUUAUUUAUUUAAUUAUUUAUUGAAAUGUAUUCUUUAUUUUGUUUUGGUUAGUAAUUAUUGUAGAAUUAGUAAAUUUAUUGUUAGGUUGUUUUAUUUGUGUUAAUUUUCUUUGAGGAACUAGGCAAAUUUCAUGUCCGCCUGUUUAACAAAAACAUCUUUUCUCGUUAGUUUUUGAAGUAUGGCCUGCCCACUGACUUUGGUGUUGAAGGGCCGCGGUAUUUUGACCGUGCAAAGGUAGCAUAGUCAUUAGUUCUUUAAUUGUGAUCUGGUAUGAAUGGCUUGACGAGGCAUGGGCUGUCUUAAUUUUGAAUUGUUUAUUGAAUUUGGUCUUUGAGUUAAAAUUCUUAGAUGUUUUUAUGGGACGAGAAGACCCUAUAGAGUUUAACAUUUGUUAUGGUCCCUUUCUGUUUGUGAGGGCUCAUUGGGCCGUUUAAUAUGUUUUGUUGGGGUGAUGGGAGGGAUAUAUUUAA
rnacentral:rRNA from 1 species